GGGUCUGUAGCUCAGGUGGUUAGAGCGCACCCUGAUAAGGGUGAGGUCGGUGGUUCAAGUCCACUCAGACCCACCA
rnacentral:tRNA from 3 species